ACGAGAGGAACACUGUAUCAGGCGUCCAACUCAAACGCUACGUCACCACAGAAAGAGGAUUACACAUAGAGAUUACAGCUCUCAGCGUACCACAUAAAUAUCUAACAGGAGCGUUUCAUAUCAGAAUUAGAACUGCUACUGGAGAAUUCAGCGUGCGGGUAAUUCGAUGACCGCCCUGUAAGUCGUGUCAGCUACAGCUGGAGCACAGCACGGAGAGGAAAUCCAUCAAGUGUCUGAAUGCGUGGAUGUUUGUGUUGCUGAGUUAGCAAGGGCCGUAACAAUGGUGCAUGAUGUCACUUCUUAUCUCUACCGCCUUUGCGGUAAUCCACUGAUGCAGUUGCUGUGGGAUCCGGACAUAUGGUAAAAACUCAUAAAGGCAACAGUACAUAAGGUCAACAGACAUAUGUCUGAAAGGCCAAAAAGUUAAUAUGCUGAGAAGUCUGUAAACCAGGAAGCUGAAAACAAAAUAAAUAUCAGGUGUGUUUCCAAGAAGGGAAAAAGGCACUUUUGAAAAACUGGGUUUCCAGAUCUGGUGUCUAGUUUGUCUAGAAGAAGGAGUUUGCCUGAGGAUCUUCUCUUCUGGAGAAAGUGGUUUGGAGAAGAUGGAAAGGAAUAUUAGUUGACUGAGUUGUCAGCAGAGCACAGCAAAUGACAGGAGCUUGGCUAACUGUGGAUGCAUGGACAGGACCGGCUGACAAGAGAAGGGAGGAGUGCAUCAGAGCAGUGCAUUGGACUCUCUGUCACAGGAGGAAAUGGAGAGAAGUUCUUCAUAAUUUUUGAGUUAGGCUGGAAACAGAGUAAGCCAAAAUUCUGGUUUUCUACUUCUGGACAAUUAAAGAAGAACAGCCACUAUAGGUCUGUCUGUCUACACUCGUGUUGCAAGGGCACACUGCUCACUCCUGCUCAGAUUGCCCACCAGCUCCUUCUACAGAACUGCUCCCUAGCCAGCUGCAUCUGCUGUUGUUGCAGAACACAAGUGCAAAACUCGGCUUGUUUCUUCAUUGAUCUCCCUGAGCUUCUUUUUGGCCCUCCUCCUAGCCCACAGUUUGGAUAAUACAAUGCUAUGGGAUACUGCAUAGGAAGUCAAUAUAAAUUACAUCAGUAUAUCUCCAACUGUACACAGUGCUGCCAUUUCAUCACAAGAAGUAAUCAGGCCAGUAAAGAACAGGUUUCCACACAUAAAUCUACAUUCCCAUAUUUUUCCAUAUUCUUCUACUUAUCUUCUUGAAGAUGUGUUUAACAUCUGGGUGUUUUUUUGUCUUUUAUUUUAUUUUAUUUUAUUUUAUUUUAUUUUCCUGGUCAUUGCUCAUUUUUCAAUCCUCUCACUUUGAAAAUAUACCAAUUUCCAUUGGCUUUAGAAGAAUUUAAAAUGUAUCUUGGUACAUUUCAUUUGAAUUCCUAUUUCUGUCAAAAUGUAUAGUGACCCAAAUUUAGUGUAAAAAGCCUGAAUGUAAUAAGAAAAGGCAAUAAUAAAGAACACACAAAUGUAAUAAAUGUAGAUGAU
rnacentral:lncRNA from 1 species